UUGCCUCUUUUCCAUCGUCUUUCUUCUUCAUUUCUUACAACCACAGACAAGAACAGCACCAUUUCCAUCUCCAUGAGAAGUAGCAACUGCAACACUUUCUUCUUCUUUUCAUCUUAGUCACCAUCUUCCUUUUGUUCCUCUUAUUACUAAUCAGAAUCACAACUUCAGAAGUAUAAAGUAUCUAUUUACCAUCAAACCACAAGGAUAAUGGAACCCUAGAUUUCAAAUUGGGGGUUCUCAGAUUAAACGAUUGUGAUUUUAGAUCCAGUUUGGCGAAAUACUCUAAGAUGAGAGGGUCAAUGGAGGAGCAUUCACGGGUACUGGCGGUUUCCAAUUCCUAUUCAAUCUAAUACCUGUAAGUUUCGAGGGGGACAAACGGGAUAAUUUUUUCCCCAUCAAUUUACAAUUUGGCGCAAGCAUAUCACUCUUUUAUCUUGAAUAACAAACCCAGGCACUCUUUAGUCUUCAAUUAUUUUAACUUAUUGGUUGUUGUGUAUUUAUAUGACUGUGGGUAUGGACGGUAUGAAAUCUCAUAUAAUCAUAUUACCAGAUGUAUUUUCCUAGUGUACUGUUUUUGUUCAGUUCUCCAUUAUUUUUGAUUCUUAUUUUUAAUUAAACAAUAUAAUGACAACUACAGGUUCCGAGAAGACUGAUCUAGGACCAAAAAAGUCACUCAUGGGUGAAUAAACUCCAUCUUUGUAUACUCUUAGGUUUAGAAAGUCUACCUCUGAACUGGGUUUUGUUUGUAAUCCAACCAAAGUAGGAUUAGACAUUCUUGAAAACGUUUUUGUUUCUCUGAUUCAGUUCGUCAAGUGUAUAAAACUACUUUUUGCACAACUUGGAAUAUCACCCUCCGUGCUGAAGGUAAUCUGUUAUCUCAAUUUUUGAAUGUCGUUAAAAUUUUAUGUUGGUUUAGUAUACGGGAUUGUGUCUUAAGUAUUUGCAGGAAAAUAUGUCACAUUAGGAAAAUUGCUAGACUAAAGUUUCUGAUGACACUGGAACAUAUCUCCAACAUUUCCUGAAAGUUAGUAUAUCAGGCAUCACUCUCGGUUAUGACUCACAAGCUAUCACCACCACUUUGAAAAGCGAAAGAUAAAUAAAGAUAAUAUACUAUAUGGGACUGGCCCGCCAGGUUCUGACUUACAAGCUAUCACCACCAAUUUGAAAAGUGAAAGAAAAACGAAGUAUAUAUGGGGUUGGCCUUCCAGGUAAAUGGACUUUAUAUUACUGUACUGUGGACUUCAUGUUGCUCAGGUUAGGAACAAAACCCUUGCCUUAUAUGCUUGAGCUGUUAGAUUGAGAAUUUUGUGGAUUUCUCUCAUAAUUAUCGCUGGAGUUAAAAUUAGAUAUUUUAGAAUUUUCAGGAUUAUUAGAACUUUCAGGAUUAUAACAGCGUAAGCUGGAAAUUUGUACGAUUUUAUUCUACAUUAGUUCAUAAUCCAUGUGUCUAAGAUUUUUGUUUUGUUUGCUAGAUUGGCCAUUCAAAUUUUGAAUUUUGACAUGUUUAAUUUCUUUUAGAACAAAGUUUCAUUGACCAAAAUGGUCCAUUAAUGAAUGAGUCUGUGGCACAACGGUAAUGCGUCUGACAUCAAGUUAGAAGGUUGUGUGUUCGAUUCACACCAGAUUCAGUCCUCGGUAGUAACUGUUUUGUUAUUUGUACGCUUUACACUAACUUACAAGUAGUUAUAUAAAUUACACAAAAUUGAUAUGAAUGAUAGAAGUAUAGUAGUUCUUUUACAGAUGAUGGGGAAACAUAUUGGCUUUGUGAUUAUUGGGUCACAAAUCAUAAGAUAUCAUAAAUUAUGUGAUAGUGGAUACUUCCAUACGCCUAAUUUUCCCAUUAUAUGAUUUUGAAUUUGAUCCACUCAUCCCUAGCUACUGUGUGUGCAUGUGCAUAUUUUUAGCACUUGAGAUUGCUGUUUGUACUGUUUGGAGUCGGAUGUUUGACAAGUGGAGGGAGAAGGGAAAGUUGUGAAGAAGGCAAUUAGAGAAGAUGCUAAGAGAAAUGGUAAUAUCUCAGCGAAGGUAACAAUAUUAUCAUUCUUAAUAUCCAUGUUAGUUAUAUAGAGUGCAGAACAAUAGAGACUGGAGAGUAAACACGGGUUUGCGGAUCAUGAUGGUAAGUUGUACUGUCUAUUGUCUAGCAUCUGUUUUCGUAGUUAAUUUGUUUGUAACUGAAUACAUCGUGACUUGGCAGUAACUAAUUUAAAAAUCCACGAUAAAUAUAGGUUAUUUCUACUUUUUUAAAUAGGUUGAGUUUACAGUAUAAUGAAAAAUGUACCGAAGUGGUAUUUAUGUCUCUCCGAUAAAAAGAAUAGUGGUUGAUGGUAUGGUAACGUAGUUUUUUGACGUAUCUUCAUUCGGAUUUAAGACAAUUGCAAAUCAGUUAGUCACAUAGUUUUACUUAUUCAUGAAAUUAUCAAUGCAAUUAAGAUGCUCUAUUAUUUUUAUGAGUGGUCGUACAACUAUCUCACUGCUUUACAUGAUACCAUUUGUAAUUGUUGCUGGUGUAAGGUUUGCUCUUUAUAUCAUUAUAUGAUGUUGAAUUUGAUUCACUAAUACCUAGCUAUUGUCUCUGUGUGUGUACAUGUGCGUAUUUUUGGAACUAGAGUUACAAACGAUAAGGUGCUGGGAAACCGCGAGAUGCAUGUUUAACAGUCUUCACUAUUUUGAUUAUUGCAGGAACUGAGAUGCUUAUAUAUAGAUUAUUGCAGGAACUGAGAUGGUCAUAUAUAGUAAGUUCGACACUUUGUGCAUGUUGCCACAUUGCAGGAUAUGCUCACAGGACUAUGAAUAAUCUGGCUAACAUAAUUUUUUAUGUGAAUUUGUUGCUCUACUGUUUUCUAGGGGCAUUAGGUUCCUUUAUAUGCAGUUUUUAUAUUGGUUACUGCUAAAGAAAAUUAAGUGAACACCGUAAUUAAUUUUCCCAUCUAUGAGUGGAUUGUGAAUCCAUAAUCCUCAGGUUCAAUCCCCGUCAUUCAUUCGCCAAUCAAGAAAAGGGACAGGAAGAUCCCAACUAAAGAUUUAUCUACAAGAGUCAACUCCUUGGAUGGAUCUUCUGGAUCACAGUUCCCUAUUUUCUAUUCUUAAGUGAACACCUAUGGAACCCAAAAUGCAUGUUGUAGUAAGUCAGAAAAGUAAAAUACAGAUCUGAAAAUACUACUAAUUUUGUCUUCUUAUUUUUAGGUUUCCUUCAAAUUUAGGUUCUAUAUGCUACUGAAUCUCAACGUGAUGCUCGACUGUUUUCAUGAGGCAUUAGGCUCUUAUCUGUACAACAAUUAGGAGGUUACUCAUACAAACAUUGAGGAGGUUAUCAUGGACAUAACACAUACGAGAGAGAUUGCUUGAUCAACAAUCCAUUUUUUGCUUUGCUGAUGAGGAGUUACCCCUUGCACUUGGUCUAUGCUAUGUGUACGUAGCACUUGGUUCCAGAUACCUAGAUUUUAAAAAGGUGGAUACUAUAAGAAAAAACCAGAUGCGUACCGAAUUGGGAAAUAUACCAUGGAAAUAAUAAUUCAAAAACUGGAAAAAGAAGCUGGGAAGAGGCAAGUAUUACGCAACCUAACAUACGCUGGAUUAGUAAUUUUCAUUCUCCCAUUGGAGAUUUUAUUGUAUCAGGAGUUCUGAUCACAUUAUCAGUGGAGAUAAUUGGGGUUUCAAUGGAGAGGAGAGACACUUCCAUGGGAUAAAGGUUUUAUUCAUUGUAAGCACAGUGCAUACCUGCAUUUUUUUUCAUUUUUCUUCUCAUAGUGUCAUCUUUAAUUUAUGUGUAGUUGAUGUUAAUUUAGUACGAUCCAUUAAUGACUCAGUCAAAAUCUCUAGGAUAAUAUUCGAUAAUGCUAUGGGUGGAGAACUUUCUCUCACAAAUUUUAUUCUUACUCAUUUGGAUAAAAAGUUGUGGAAGAGGGAAGACAGGGGGUUUCCAUAGGUAUCCUCAUUGUUAAAGAGGCCUGAGGCUAGAUUCAUGUGAAAAUUAGUGUUGAAAUAUGUUAUCAGGACAUUUAUGUGUUAAUUGCGACAUCGAUUGUCUAUCUCUAUAUGGGAUAUGUUGCCGAAUAAGCAAAAAGGAUCCCAUCAACUAUGGAUUCAGAAGGAUGGAUAAAGACGGGGAGAUCUAUGAUAUGUCAACGAUAAAGGUUGUCUCUACGUUUUAGAUAAGCAUAGGCUUAAAGAAUUGGCCAAGCAUGAGGAAUACGAUCUACAUAGUUACGAAACUGAAUCAAUUAACACAUCGGUUCAGGUUUUCAUUCGAUUAAUCCUGCAAUUAAGUUUAUCUUUCGGUUUUCCUUAUAAUUAGUCUCACACAUAGCAAGUUCCUUCGGCGGAAGAAUUCUGAUUAUAUAAUGUCUAAAAAUCAAAUGUUAUUUUUUAAAUAUGCAGAUCAUUAUAUCUCCAUUCAUUACCGAGUUUCUUUAUUUAGGGUAUUGUGGAAGGUCUUAAUGUAACUAAUAUGAAGAAUUUAGCGAAUGGCGUAUAUAGUACAUCUGUCCAUGUACUUCUGUAUAUUGGUGUUCAGAUCCCAUGAAAUCAACUUUUUCAAUACGUACUAACUUUCACAUAACCGUUGCCUUAAUAUAUCUUUUAAACUGAUCAUAAAGAAAUUGAUUUAAGAUUUGCUUAUAUUUUUAUAAGUGAAUUAGUCUGAUGUAGCUAUGUUUUUAAUAUCUUCAUAUCAUAAAGAGAUCUUGGAAGGAAGGUAAUUUACAAUCGGCUUUCAUGUGUCAUUUGUUUUGUUCUCUUAAUUUAUCAGGGUCUGUUUUGAUUUUCUUGGUAGGAAAGCUUCUACAUGUUUGAUGAGAGUUCUUUUGUUGGUGAUAGAGGAGGUGGCAUGUUUGUAUUGCAGGUUGGCAUACCUCUUGGGCAAGAGCCAUUGUAAAAUGGUUUGAGCUGAAAACUUGCGUUAUAGUGGUAUCCAUCCCUUGGUAGUCUCUAGAAUUGCAUAAAUUUUGCUAAGGAAGUAGAGGCAAGUCUCGAAUGAUGGAGAUACAACAAUGAGUAGUAUCUCCUCACUUGCGAUAACAGCCCGAAUUGUAAUUUUGAAAACUGUUUCUUCCGCAGUAAGAAGUGAUAAAAAAAUAAUGCAUGGACUAUAUGGUACAAGCAUUAACACAGCUUUUUAGCAUGACUACAUUAUUCUUGAAAUUUCUAUUUUUCCUAAACAGUUUGUGUUACUUUUAUAAUAAC